rnacentral:rRNA from 1 species
CCUACGGGAGGCAGCAGUGGGGGAUAUUGCACAAUGGGGGAAACCCUGAUGCAGCGACGCCGCGUGUGGGAAGACGGUCCUCUGGAUUGUAAACCACUGUCCCCAGGGACGAAGAUGACGGUACCUGGGGAGGAAGCUCCGGCUAACUACGUGCCAGCAGCCGCGGUAAUACGUAGGGGGCGAGCGUUGUCCGGAAUUACUGGGUGGAAAGGGAGCGUUGGCGGGAGUGAAAGUUGGGUGUAAAAUCUACCGGCUCAACCGGGAGCCGCACGUAAAACUGGAGUUCUUGAGUGAAGUAGAGGCAGGCGGAAUUCCUAGUGUAGCGGUGAAAUGCGUAGAUAUUAGGAGGAACACCAGUGGCGAAGGCGGCCUGCUGGGCUGUUACUGACGCUGAGGCUCGAAAGUGUGGGGAGCAAACAGGAUUAGAUACCCCAGUAGUC